GACGAACGCUGGCGGCGUGCUUAACACAUGCAAGUCGAGCGGUAAGGCCCUUUCGGGGGUACACGAGCGGCGAACGGGUGAGUAACACGUGGGUGACCUGCCCUCAGCUCUGGGAUAAGCCUGGGAAACCGGGUCUAAUACCGGAUAUGACUCCAUGACGCAUGUUGUGGGGUGGAAAGCCUUGUGCGGCUGAGGAUGGGGCCCGCGGCCUAUCAGCUUGUUGGUGGGGUGAUGGCCUACCAAGGCGACGACGGGUAGCCGGCCUGAGAGGGCGACCGGCCACACUGGGACUGAGACACGGCCCAGACUCCUACGGGAGGCAGCAGUGGGGAAUCUUGCGCAAUGGGCGAAAGCCUGACGCAGCGACGCCGCGUGCGGGAAGAA
rnacentral:rRNA from 1 species